rnacentral:rRNA from 1 species
UGAAUACGAGACGCUACGGCGUCGAAGCAGUCUAUGUCAUACUUCCAAGAAAAGCUCGCAAUGUCAUAAACAAAUAAUGCCUGUACCAUAACCGACACAGGUGGGUAGGUAGAGUAUACUAAGGGGCGCGAGAUAACUCUCUCUAAGGAACUCGGCAAAAUGACUCCGUAACUUCGGGAGAAGGAGUGCCUUAUUUAUAAGGUUGCAAUAACAAGAUCCAAGCAACUGUUUAUCAAAAACACAGGUCUCCGCUAAGUCGUAAGACGAUGUAUGGGGGCUGACGCCUGCCCAGUGCCAGAAGGUUAAAGAAGUUGGUUAGCAUUCGCGAAGCUGAUAACUGAAGCCCUGGUGAACGGCGGCCGUAACUAUAACGGUCCUAAGGUAGCGAAAUUCCUUGUCGGGUAAGUUCCGACCCGCACGAAAGGCGUAAUGAUUUGGAUACUGUCUCGGAGAGGGGCUCGGUGAAAUAGACUUGUCUGUGAAGAUGCGGACUACCUGCACCUGGACAGAAAGACCCUAUGAAGCUUUACUGUAACUUGAAAUUGAAAUUGGACUUUAUUUGCGCAGCAUAGGUGGGAGGCGUUGAGAGUAUUCUUGCGGGAAUAUUGGAGCCAUCAGUGAGAUACCACUCUUGUAAUGUUAGAUUUCUAACUUUGGAUCAUUAUCUGGUCAAAGAACAGUUUCAGGCGGGCAGUUUGACUGGGGCGGUCGCCUCCCAAAUGGUAACGGUGGCGUACAAAGGUUUCCUCUGAACGGGUAGAAAUCGUAUCUAGAGUGUAAAGGCAUAAGGAAGCUUGACUGUGAGACCUACAAGUCGAGCAGGGACGAAAGUCGGUCUUAGUGAUCUGACGGUGCUGAGUGGAAAGGCCGUCACUCAACGGAUAAAAGUUACCCUAAGGAUAACAGGCUGAUCUCCCCCAAGAGUUCACAUCGACGGGGAGGUUUGGCACCUCGAUGUCGGCUCAUCGCAUCCUGGGGCGGUAGUACGUCCCAAGGGUUGGGCUGUUCGCCCAUGAAAGCGGUACGCGAGCUGGGUUCAGAACGUCGUGAGACAGUUCGGUCCAUAUCCGGUGUAGGCGUUAGAAUAUUGAGAGGAGCCUUCUUUAGUACGAGAGGACCGAGAAGGACAUACCUCUGGUGUACCAGUUAUCGUGCCAACGGUAAACGCUGGGUAGCUAUGUAUGGAGAGGAUAACCGCUGAAAGCAUCUAAGUGGGAAGCCCACCUCAAGAUAAGUAUACUC